rnacentral:tRNA from 1 species
AGUAUUGUGCCUGAAGCUUAAGGAAUAAACUGUAAAUUUAUUUAUGAAGUAAAUUACUUCCAAUACUA